CCUGCCCCGCCGCCUCCCCGGCCACCGUAGGCACUUCCUGUUUGUCUGAAAAAGAAAUCUUUAUUCGCGUUCUGCGCGGACAAGCACAGUGUCGUUCUAGAGAGACGCCACGGGAGGGCGCGAGAGUCUGCAAGCGAAAGACAGCGCGCCAAGCCUGUGUGGACGUGGUCCUCCUGUGGAGGAGCAGAAGGGCCGGACGCUCCCGGUUUCGACGGCAACCCCUGCGUCCCGAGCUUCUCUGGGUCCUCCUGAGAUUCUUUCAUUGAUUCACAAGAGGGAGAUUAGAAGACCUGCUUUCUCAAUCUCCCACAUCUAAAGAUGCUGAAAAUAUGAUAUUGACAUCAAUAUCAGAGGAUUCUGAGUCAGAGGCUGAACUUUCUGAAUUGCAUCAAUGGGUUCCCUUGUCUUUUGGCUGCUGGCUGAGUUUCAUCAAUGAGGAGCAACAGAAGAGACUGGAGAGGGGGCUAUUCAGCUGCUUGGAUUAGACUCCCCUGGUCUCCUCCCUGCUGGUUCUCCUCCGGUUGGCUGCAUCUCUCUAUGGAGGGCACAGCUAGAAUCAAACUGCCUUCUCCACACAGUUUUCUCCCCAGACCAGCAACAUUGCCAUCACCUGCGAAUUUGUGAAAAAUACAAAUACUCCAGUCCUACGCCAAACCUACUGAGGCAGAAACUCCAGCGGGAGGCCCAGCAAUCUAUGUUUAACAAGCCCUGCAAGUAAUUCAUACACAGUUUGACAACCACUGCUGUAACUAACUACUCUUUUUUUCUCUCUCACAGCUACUAACCCUGCGAUACUGUCCAGUCCUUUGUUGUUUUCCCCCAAACUCUGUUUACCUUUGUAAAUAGUCCUUUUACUAUACUCUCCUCAAAUUACUCAUUUUGAGUAUGCCAUGGUUUCCUGCAGGACCCUAACAAUGUCAACAAGGGGCUUCUUGGGAUCCAAAAAAUAAGACAGCUAACUGCUUUGUCCUCUGCCUGUGAAAAGUACAGGCCCACUGACCAAGCUGAAAGAAAAAACCUGUGAUGGGAUAGCCAAGUAAGGAGAUCUAGUUACAGAUCACCCCAAAAUCCUUUAGGCAAAAGCUUGCAGUGGAUCUCUGUGUUUCAGAAAAUGUUUGUUUGGUAAACUAAGAAAUGAUGUAAUAUCCUUGUGAGACAUAUGACUAAAAUCUGAGGUUUUUGUGUAGGCUUGGGCUGUAAUGUUGGUUUUUACCAAGGGCUUUAGUCUGAGGAGGGAAAAUGCUAAAAUAAGUUGCUACUUGGAAAAGGAAGCUGAUGGUAUUUCUUUCCUUUGGCCUGGGCCAAAGCUAUAGCAAGCUAAAUUCAUACCAUUUAUUUUUCAUCCAAUAUGAAAGUCGUAUAGACCAAGACAUAACAUUUGAGCACCAAUAGAGAAUAAACAAGUUCAAAGGGUCAGUCUGACUAGAAUGUAUAAUGCCUAAGACAAAGGGAGACUGUUUCUAGGUGUUUGUUUCCUCAGGUCUCUUGUCACAAGGAGUCACCUUGUUUCCAGGGCAUAAAUCCAAGGCAGAAAUAUUCAACAGAGGUCAGGAAGGUAGCCUUGAGUAAAACUGAGAAGCCCCACUCCAGCAAGUCAUUUCCUUUGGAAAUGUAAAGGUUAGUAAGCCUGGAAUCAGGAUAAGAAAGAGGCUUUGGGAAAACUUAGCCCAAAGUGCUAAACUAACACAGGUUUUUCUUGCCUUUGUGGAAUGAAUCUAUUGCUUUUCCUACAAAUGAAGAAACUGGUUUUCAAAGUAACAUCUCUUAUUUAUGCUUUAUAAAUUUGGCCAGUAAUAACUGGACCCUAAAAAAUGGCGAGUCAGGCUAGGCUUGUCUUCAAAUUUUGUCUUUAAUUCACUUUUUAAAUACAAUUCCCCUCCAUCUCUCCUUCCCUUCUCCCUUUUCCCCCCUCCCCUGCCCCAGAGAUCCAUGGUUUCCUCAAGCUGUAACCUGUCUGUUCACAGCCCACCACUUGAACAACCUUCCCAGGUUUUCCCCUCUUUGAACUUUUCCAGAGCGCACUCAGAAUUUAAAGGAACAGGGCCCUAUCCCUCAGGGCCUAAUGCAGAUUAUGGUUAUCUACUUCCCACUGGGUAAGGGAUUGCUUGGUAACCCUCUUACCUGAGGCAGCUACCAGAGUGAACUGAUCUCAGGGACAUAAGGCCCUGCCAAUCAGUAGCUGUGUGAUCUUGGGAAGGUUACAAAGAAAGAUGCAAAGAAUCAUAGAUUCUUGGGGUUGAAAGGGAUCAGUGCUUGAAUACAUAGUCUAAUACCUUACAGAGGUUUUAUCCACCUUCUAUUUAAUGUCCUACUGAAAAUAACUUCUGUCAUUUAUUGAGCACCUCCUAUGGGCCAAGGCCUGAGUUAGGCAUUUGUAUAUAUUGUCACUAAUCCUGAAAAUAACCCAGCAAGGUAGUUAGCACUAGCCCCAUUUUACAAGUAUGAAACUGAGACUUGAUAGGGUGACUUAGUUAGUCCAAGUGGCAAAGCCAGGGUUCGUACCCAUUGCAGUUGGCCUGGAAGUCAGUGCUCAUUCCACUUGACUGUAUGAUCUUCUAAGAGAUCCCAUUCUAACCCUAUAACGGAAGCAUACUUUAUUUUUUUAAUAUUUGAUUUAUUUAUUUGGUUGCACCAGGUCUUAGUUAUGGCUUGCAGCCUCCUUGGUUGCGGCUCGCUGGCUCCUUAGUUGUGGCAUGCGAUCUCUUAGUUGCAGCAUGCAUGUGGGACCUAGUUCCCUGACCAGGGAUCAAACCCAGGCCCCCUGCAUUGGGAGCGUAGAGUCUUAUCCACUGUGCCACAAGGGAAGUCCCUGAAGCAUACUUUAUAAUGAGCUAAAUUUGUCUUCCUCUACCUCCCACCCACCUUCACCUCCAAGUUCUACACCUCGGUAUAGCAAAGUCGUCUUCCUCUUCUACAUGCCACUCCUUCAGGUAUUUGAAUACUACAGACUACUUUGACCAUCCUGAAAAUAUUCAGCCUUUCCUCCUAUGAAAGUUUAAAAUCCCUUCACUCUCCUACUGAUUCCUUUUCAGUUCGUCUAUGUCCCAUAUAUCAACAACAAAAACCUGAAGCUUAAUAUAUGUACAGAAAAGUGCACAGAUAAUAUGUACACAGUGAAAUUUUUACAGUCACUCCUUGAUCAAGCAACAGAAGCAUUACCAGAACCCUAGAAGCCCAUGCUAUCUCAUCUGUGCCUCCCCCAGAGGUGACCCACACCCUGACUUUUAAUACAUGGAUUAUAUAGAGGGAAGCACACAAUCUGCAUCCUUUUGUGCCUGCCUUCAUUUGCUCAACAUUGUGAGAGUUUCAUGUCAUAUUGUGUGGAGCUAUAGUUAGUUCAUUCUCAUUCAUUCCUUUCUGUGUACUUCUUAAAAUAUUGUGGUAAAAUAUGUAUAAUAUAAAAUUUACCAUCGAAACAAUUAAGUGUACAGUUCAGUGGAAUUAAGUAUAUUCACAAGAUUGUGCAACUGUCACCACCAUCUGUCUCCAGAACUUUUUCAUCUCCCCAAACUGAAACUCUGUGUUUAUUAAACAAUAACUCCCCACCUGCCCCUCCUCUAGCCCCUGGCAACCACAAUUCUACUUUCUGUCUCUUUGAAUAUGCCUUCUUUAGGUACCUCAUGUAAGUGGAAUCAUAUAGUAUUUGUUCUUUUAUGAUUGGUUUAUUUCACUUAGUAUAAUGUCCUCAAGAUUCAUCCAUGUUAUAGCAUGUGUCCGAAUUUCCUUCCUUUUUAAAGCAAAAUAACAUUCCAUUGUACAGAUAUACCAUGUUUGGUUUUUUUUAAUUCUGUGUGCUUUUUAAAGUGUGUUGAGUCCCCAGUGGAUCUGGCAUGAGCAGGUCCUUUGCACAGCUCCACCACUGCAUUCCCACACUCUUUUUUCUUGCUUUCAAGUCUGGUUCCCAUCUAGACAGAGUGCUCUUUGGACCUUAUGCAUCUUUGCUUCCCCAGCACCUAGCUCCAAGUAGAAAUUCGGUGAACAAUAUCUGGUAAUAAAUGAAUGAAAGUAUAACAGCCCCGUGAAGUUCCUCCUCUUUACCUCUCUGAGCCCCAGUUUCCUCAUUCUUGAAAUAAAGCGUUCAGACUAUUGAUUCCUUAAAUCUUGCCUAGCUUGACAUUCCUGAUUUUAUGACAGUCUUGCAUUUCACAAGGCUCUUUGGUGACCUAUUCCAAGGGUUUGACAAACAAAACAACAGUAAUUUUUUAAACUACUUUUAUGUGUUCCAGUUUAUAUAUCAAUAAUUUCAGUUUAUCCCUUUGGUAACCCUGUUAGGAAAUGUGAGACUUGAAGGCUCUGUGAGAAAUUCUUCUGGACAAGGAAAAAGACUUGCAAAGUGGGUCAUUAAGGAGGUCUCUGUUAGGGAGAGGUUUGCCAAGCUAAUUUCUCUCCUUCAGUGGCUCAAUUGAAAAGCUUCCGGGGCUGUAGGGAAGCUGCAAUUCCCAACUCAGUCAAUAGGUGGCCAUUUAACUGCACCCAGAGGGAACAGAUGAAAACAACUCCAGCCCCAGAGCCAGGAUGGUCCCAAAGUGGCAGUCAACCAAAUUAGCAUUUUUCUAGGAGAAUUUGCAUGUAUAAAAUGGUUAGAAGGCCCUGAGCAUUCUGAAAUAUGCUAUCACUGGCAAUAGACUUAGAAUGCUGCCCACUCUG